AUUACGGGCUUCGGCCCAAAACU
rnacentral:snRNA from 1 species